UACGAGGGGGGCGAGCGUUGUUCGGAAUUAUUGGGCGUAAAGGGUGCGUAGGCGGUUUGGUAAGUCUGAUGUGAAAUCUAUGGGCUCAACUCAUAGUCUGCAUCGGAAACUGCCGGGCUUGAGUAUGGGAGAGGUGAGUGGAAUUCCUGGUGUAGCGGUGAAAUGCGUAGAUAUCAGGAGGAGCACCUGUGGCGAAAGCGGCUCACUGGACCAAUAACUGACGCUGAUGCACGAAAGCUAGGGGAGCAAACAGG
rnacentral:rRNA from 1 species